rnacentral:lncRNA from 1 species
CCCAGCCUCGCUGCCGCCUUGCAGUUUGAUCUCAGACUGCUGUGCUAGCAAUCAGCGAGACUCCGUGGGAGUAGGACCCUCCGAGCCAGGUGUGGGAUAUAAUCUCGUGGUGCGCCAUUUUUCAAGCCCGUCAGAAAAGCGCAGUAUUCGGGUGGGAGUGACCCGAUUUUCCAGGAGUCCUAACCUAAAAUAAAAUAGAACAUACUGUGCUUAAAGCAAGGGGGGAAUCAUGUAACAAUAAAACCAGUGAAGAAAAUUCUAAUGCUCAGGUAAGGCCUCAGAAAAAGUGGAAAACAGCUGGUCCUCAGGAUCCUCCAGCCUUUGCCAAGGAAAAGUGGUUUUAAUCACUGAAGAAUGAGGCUUCAACAUAUGGAAAGACUGUAAGGUGUUCCUGGACAGCAAGUGAGUGACUUGCUCACAGGCGGUAAUUCAGGGACCCAGGUUUCUUCUACCUGGUAGCUCUACUGUCCUUCAGAACCUCAGAGCCCUGUGCAUUCAGCCAGCAGGAGAAAGACCACUACUAAGGUCAUUCACUUUGGGAGAAGCCAGUCUUCAUGCCAUGAGGACGUUCAGGCAGCCCUGUGGAGAGAACCACAUGGAAAGGAUCUGAGGUCUCUCACCAGCACCAAUUUGCCAGCUAUGGGAAUGGGCCACCUUGGAAGGAGACUGUCCAGCCCAAGUGAAGGCUGCAGAUAACUGCAGCUUUGGCCAACAUUUGGCUAUAUUGCUUUGGGAAAUCUCAAGCCAGAACCAUCUGGCCAAGCUGCUCUUAAAUUCCUGAUCCACAGAAGUUUUGGAAGGUAA